GUCGAGGCUAGAGUCACGCCCGGACGCUGCUCGUCGUCCUGGUGUGCUAAAGCAGCUCGCAGAUUGAAGCUCUUUGUUUAUUCAUUGGCUGCAGUCUGCUGUGAUCCAGCCAAUCACCAGCUCAGACACAACC
rnacentral:snoRNA from 1 species